AUGGAGAAGCGGGGAUCCUGGACGAGCUCCUCUCCCGGCGGCAAGAUGAGGAUCUGCGAAGACGUCCUGGUCAACGCCAUCACCUCGCCUCCAACUUGCGCAGGUCGCGCCUGCCCAGAUUUUGCACCACUGCCCACCGGUUCUCCAGAUCAUGCUCGGCCACCACGCUGUCUUGGCUCAGCUCUGCCCAUGACGGCCGCCAUGUCCGCGUCGCCGUUGGCCGCUGCUGCUCCUCCACUGCGGGCCGCCGCAGCUCUCUGCCUGUCGUUGCUGCCACGAGGCCGUCGGCCACCGCUGCUCCUUCGGCAGCCGCAUCCAGUCGUUGCUGUGGAGCCUGGGGCAGGAGGAGGAGAGGGCAUGAGCGCAAGGGAGGGUGGCGGCGGUUACCCUAGCCGGGUGCGAGGGGAGAAGCACUCGUUUUUGUUUUCUUUUUGUAUUUCUUCGUUCGUUCGGUAA
rnacentral:rRNA from 1 species